ensembl:lncRNA
AUGAUAGGCCCCUCCCACUUUUCACAACCUGGUUUAUUUUCCAUAGCAAUGUGCUUCCAUCUAAUAAGAUUCAUCCUACAGUGUUUUGAAGUCAACACGACAUAUCGUCUGUCCGCUACAGCUGCUCGUGUUGGACGACCACAGAAGCGGCGCCCUCUGAGAACGCAAGGCAUUGAAUUUGCUCCCCUCUGUGUAGGUUCAUCCUACAAUGUUUUGAAGUCAACACGACAUAUCGUCUGUCCGCUACAGCUGCUCGUGUUGGACGACCACAGCAGCGGCACCCUCUGAGAACGCAAGGCAUUGUGGGUAAAUUGGUUAUCGUUUGUUGUUUAGCUCUGGACAGUGAUCGUGUGUAUCAAAAAUGAAGCAGUUUGAACAUUGCAUUCUAGAGUUAUAAGCUUUUUCCUAUUACAGCGUGCUGAUGGCGAAGGAUUUUCCUGUCAUGAUAGGCCCCUCCCCUCUUUUCCACAGCCUGCUCUUUUUGCCAUAGCAAUGUGCUUCCAUCUAAU